rfam:Dipodomys ordii contig_27076, whole genome shotgun sequence.
GGUGGCUCAGUGGUAGAGCACUUGUCUUGCAUGCAUGAGGCCCUGGGUUCAAUUCCUCAGCACCA